rnacentral:rRNA from 1 species
UACGGAGGGAGCUAGCGUUAUUCGGAAUUACUGGGCGUAAAGCGCACGUAGGCGGCUUUGUAAGUUAGAGGUGAAAGCCUGGAGCUCAACUCCAGAAUUGCCUUAAGACUGCAUCGCUUGAAUCCAGGAGAGGUGAGUGGAAUUCCGAGUGUAGAGGUGAAAAUUCGUAGAUAUUCGGAAGAACACCAGUGGCGAAGGCGGCUCACUGGACUGGUAUGACGCUGAGGUGCGAAAGCGUGGGGAGCAAACAGGG